CAAAUUUCUGCAGAAAGAUAAUACUUUAAUAGAAGACCCACUGGAGAGAAGGAACUUGGAGGUUAAGGAAACAAAUGAGAGGAGGAUGAUCUACUUUACACUUACUACUGCAAAUAACUGACUGUAUUGCACUGUACAGCUGACUGUACAGCUCCUUGGUGAAUAACACAGACAUAUGAGUUGAUUCAUCCUCACACACAGAAAUAUUUUCUCAUCUGAUGGAAUAUGUCAUCAUAUGUUCAAAGAUGGCAAUGGAAUGUGAAAUGAGAGAAAUAUGAAACAAACAAAAAGACUGAUGCAGAUAAUUCACAUGGCAGUAUUCGGGGAAGGAAAGAAAAGAAGAGAUGGUCAUGAUGUGGGAAGAUGUAAGAGGCACAGGAACACACAACAGAUAUUCAUAAGAAAUUGCUGCUUAUGGAAUUGCUUGCUUGUUGUUAACCUUCUUGUCAGUACCUUAUUUUUACGAGGGCAUUAUAAUGCAAUUCAUCUGAGACCUUGCUUCUCUACUGCCAUGGUACCACCCCCAAAGAUGUCACAUUUUCUGUAUCUGAUACAUAGGAUUUGGUUUCAUUUCUUCUUAGUA
rnacentral:lncRNA from 1 species